UACGGAAGGGGCAAGCGUUGUUCGGAAUCAUUGGGCGUAAAGGGCGCGCAGGCGGCUCUGUAUGUCUGCCGUGAAAGCAUACAGCUCAACUGUAUUGUGUCGGUAGAAACUGCAGGACUUGAGGCUGGGAGGGGCUGGUGGAAUUCCCUGUGUAGCGGUGAAAUGCGUAGAGAUGGGGGAGAACACUCGUGGCGAAGGCGGCCAGCUAGACCAGUUCUGACACUGAGGCGCGACAGCGUGGGGAGCAAACAGG
rnacentral:rRNA from 1 species